AUGCUCACUUCGGGAGCACAUAUACUAAAACUGGAACAACACAGAGAAGAUUAGCAUGGCCCCUGCACAAGGACGACAUGCAAAUUCGUGGAGUGUUCCACAUCUUU